UUAUUGUAUAUCGCACAUAUUUUUAAUAUAUAACAUUUUUCAUUAAGCCACACAUAUAUAUACCUAUAAGAAUGAAUUAUAGUUCUGGAACAAUAUAAAAGAGCAAAGAUAAUUUAAUAAUAUAAUCUAUGGAAAGACUUAAAAUAUAUCCAUUUAAACUUAAAAUAUGAAUAUUGAGAAGUCCUGAAUAUAGCCAGCAGUGUUUCAUAUUAAGUUCACUCCAACUGAUGCAAAUGAUACCAACCUACACUAUUGUAUUGAUUAAAGGAAUUGGUAUGAAAAACCCUUCGAAUAUGCCGAAUGGAAUCGUCGAAUUUAGAAAAUCCAGGGUUCAAUCAGCACUUUGAAUAACUUUAGAUAUAAGUGAAUGAUUUGCAAUGUGAACACUGCUGGUAAUGAACAAACUUGCCGUAUCUGAUAACCAGUUUGAGAUGUCAUCAUAUAGGAAUACGCUUGAAAUCCAGACUUCAACAAGAUAUUCUGAUUAGCAAUUUUAACUACGUUUGGAAUAAUCAAAGCUAUUCACGAUGUAGUGAAGCAAAGACGUAGAGUUGUUGGACUAGAUUAAACUGGAUUGAGUAUUUCACACGAUGACCUUUUUAGCUGCUCUCCUAUUUCGUCAUAUUUGUCUAAAUAAAA